UACGUAGGGUGCGAGCGUUAAUCGGAAUUACUGGGCGUAAAGUGUGCGCAGGCGGCAGAGCAAGUCGAGUGUGAAAGCCCCGGGCUUAACUUGGGAAUUGCGCUCGAAACUACUUUGCUGGAGUGUGGCAGAGGAAGGUGGAAUUCCACGUGUAGCGGUGAAAUGCGUAGAGAUGUGGAGGAACACCAAUGGCGAAGGCAGCCUUCUGGGCCGAUACUGACGCUGAGGAGCGAAAGCCAGGGGAGCAAACGGG
rnacentral:rRNA from 1 species